AGCAGUCGCCGCGGUAAUACGUAGGUCCCGAGCGUUGUCCGGAUUUAUUGGGCGUAAAGCGAGCGCAGGCGGUUAGAUAAGUCUGAUGUGAAAGCCCACGGCUCAACCGUGGAGGGUCAUUGGAAACUGUUAAACUUGAGUGCAGGAGAGAAAAGUGGAAUUCCUAGUGUAGCGGUGAAAUGCGUAGAGAUUAGGAGGAACACCAGUGGCGAAGGCGGCUUUUUGGCCUGUAACUGACACUGAGGCGCGAAAGCGUGGGGAGCAAACAGGAUUAGAUACCCCCGUAGUCCUGUCUCUUAUACA
rnacentral:rRNA from 1 species